UCAUCCCUCCAUCGUCGGCUGCAUCCCUCACCCACGUCGCUGUUGCAGGAUCUUCAUCCGUCAUCCUGAGCAAUUGGGGCGGCGAUGCGGGCGAGCUUCACGAUAGUGGGGAGGACCAGGCCGCGGUGAAGGCAGGUCAUGCGCUCCUCACGCUCCACGAACGGAACCUGCGCACGGAGGCGGUAGCGCGGGGUGGCAGCCGGCAAUGAGGCGGCCGCGCUACGUGACGAGCUACGGGUCCCCCUUUGUGAUGUUUUGGCAUCGCUCCUUCAUCGCACAUCCUCAGGCGAUGGCGGUGGUGUCGCUGAUGGCGGCGAGGACAGCAUGUGGCAGCUCCCGAAGCAUGAACACGACCGCACCUCGGGCCUGCCGUCUGCCAAGAUAUGGCUCUGGCCGAUUGACAAUGGAGGUUUGGGAUCCUUCCUCUCAGCACCCACUCCUGGAAGAAUCAGCGGUGCGCCACGCCGAUUGAACCCCGUCGAGAUCACUCGCCAAGAUUGCUAUUCUGAAGUUUAUUGUAAAGAAAGUGAAGAGUGAGACAGGAUCCGUUUAUUUUCAACCGGUUUAUUUUCAACCGGUUUAUUUCCAUCAAAUUACCCCCACCCC